rnacentral:rRNA from 1 species
CGGACGGGUGAGUAAUGCCUAGGAAUCUGCCUGGUAGUGGGGGACAACGUUUCGAAAGGAACGCUAAUACCGCAUACGUCCUACGGGAGAAAGCAGGGGACCUUCGGGCCUUGCGCUAUCAGAUGAGCCUAGGUCGGAUUAGCUAGUUGGUGAGGUAAUGGCUCACCAAGGCGACGAUCCGUAACUGGUCUGAGAGGAUGAUCAGUCACACUGGAACUGAGACACGGUCCAGACUCCUACGGGAGGCAGCAGC